rnacentral:rRNA from 1 species
GACGAACGCUGGCGGCGUGCCUAAUACAUGCAAGUCGAACGCAGUGGGGACGGGUGAGUAACACGUGGGUAACCUCCCAUCAGAGGGGAUAACACUUGGAAACAGGUGCUAAACCGAUACUGAUGGAUGGACCCGCGGUGCAUUAGCUAGUUGGUGAGGUAACGGCUCACCAAGGCCACGAUGCAUAGCCGACCUGAGAGGGGGAUCCGCCACAACGGGACUGAGAACAGGGCCAGACUCCGACGGGAGGGAGCAGGAGGGAAUGUUUGGCAAUGGACGGAAGGUUGACCGAGCAAAGCCGCGUUAGUGAAGAAGGGUUUCGGGUCGUAAAACUCUGUUGUUAGGGAAACGGGAUCUAACCAGAAAGCCAAGGCUAAAUACGUGCCAGCAGCCGCGGGAAUAC